UUAAUUCCACUACUGUCAUUAUGUCUUCAAGCCUCUCAUCUCCUGCUGUCGGAUGAAAGUGAUUGGCUUGUUCAGUCCCUUGAACUUGGUUGAAGCAGACAGAGAACGGGGCAUAGUCAUACGCUUUAAUCCCUAAUUUUUGCCUGGACCGCCUUUUCAGGUUUUCAGUCCACCGGGAUACCCUUUUUUUGCUCAAGCCGCCUUUUCAGGUUUUCGACUUGCCGGGUGUAUGUCUUUAUAUGUUUAUCCCUAAUUUUUUGCCCG
rnacentral:lncRNA from 1 species